CUACGGGAGGCUGCAGUGAGGAAUUUUGGACAAUGCCCGCAAGGGUGAUCCAGCGACGCCGCGUGGAGGACUGAAGGUCUUCGGAUUGUAAACUCCUUUUAGAAGGGACGAAACUCCGCUUCUGGCGGAUUGACGGUACCUUCAGAAAAAGUCACGGCUAACUACGUGCCAGCAGCCGCGGUAAUACGUAGGUGGCGAGCGUUACUCGGAAUUACUAGGCGUAAAGCGCAUGUAGGCGGCCACAUAAGUCAAUUGUGAAAGCCCCUGGCUUAACUAGGGGAGUGCGGUCGAAACUAUGUGGCUAGAGUUUGAGAGGGGAAACUGGAAUUCCCGGUGUAGCGGUGAAAUGCGUAGAUAUCGGGGGGAAUACCAAUGGCGAAGGCAGGUUUCUGGAUCAAUACUGACGCUCAGAUGCGAAAGCUAGGGGAGCAAACAGGAUUAGAUACCCUGGUAGUC
rnacentral:rRNA from 1 species